ACUACAGCUCAUACACUAUAGCAGAGGAGGGCAACUACAGCUCAUACACUAUAGCAGAGGAGGGCAACUACAGCUCAUACACUAUAGCAGAGGAGGGCAACUACAGCUCAUACACUAUAGCAGAGGAGGGCAACUACAGCUCAUACACUAUAGCAGAGGAGGGCAACUACAGCUCAUACACUAUAGCAGAGGAGGGCAACUACAGCUCAUACACUAUAGCAGAGGAGGGCAACUACAGCUCAUACACUAUAGCAGAGGAGGGCAACUACAGCUCAUACACUAUAGCAGAGGAGGGCAACUACAGCUCAUACACUAUAGCAGAGGAGGGCAACUACAGCUCAUACACUAUAGCAGAGGAGGGCAACUACAGCUCAUACACUAUAGCAGAGGAGGGCAACUACAGCUCAUACACUAUAGCAGAGGAGGGCAACUACAGGUCAUACACUAUAGCAGAG